rnacentral:lncRNA from 1 species
ACAAACACUUGAAAUUAAGAGUACAUAGAGAUGGCCAAACUCAACAAGACUACUUUUCUUGCUCUCUUCUUCUGCUUCCUCAUUUUUGCAGCCUACGGUACGUAGUUUUGCACUCCAUGAGCGGAUGGUUAAUUUUCCAUUUACUGGUUUCAUUGUGGAAAACAUUGUCAUGUUCAGUACAUAGGACUGAACAAGAUUUGUUGAAAGAAGUACUCUAUUUUUUUCACGUUUAAUCAAGUCUAAUUCUAUCUAGUUGAAUGUAACAAGAUAUAUCAUCACCUUAUUCAUUAUUUUUCCAGGCACCAUGCAUAUGAUUAUCAUGAGAAAAUAACCCGACAGUUUAACGAACCCUUUUUCCAUCUCUCACCCCAAGAUGGUGCACGUCGCAUAAUAGUUUUUUUGACAUUUUCUCACCAAAAUAAAUAAAUAAAUAAAUAAAUAUCCAAUAUAUGUGUGGUAUCAAGUGAAUUUUGGCUUGUUUUUCGUUUUUCUUAAUAUGAAAAGAAACUUACAGAAUAUAUACAAUUUAGUAAACGAAGUGUUCUUAAUAGUAAAGGAAAAUAUAGACGUAAAUUUAUCAAAUAACUGAUACUAUUUAUCUUUCCCGAUCCAACUUUUGUGCAGAGAUGCAAACGGGGGAAGCAAAACCUUGCACAAAACUUAGCAAAGGAUGGCGUGGGUUGUGUGCUCCUCAUAAAUGCAGCAGUUACUGUAUUCACCAUGAGGGAGCUUACCACGGUGCUUGUCUAAAAAAUCGCCAUAGUAAGCAUUAUGGUUGCUACUGUUACUACCGUCAUUGCUAAUCAAUGAACCUUAUAUAAUCACGUCGUCUGUUACUACAUGGUUCCAUGUACUUGUUGGAGGUCAAGUCUUGUACCUGUCUGCAAGAUUGUACUGUGUUUAUGUUUCCAGUAAUCCUCGAGUGCUUUCGUUUUAAAAAAUAGCAGUUGCCUGUGUAAGCUCUUGCAGCAAGUGGUGUCAGUUGUGUCCAUCAGUUUGUGUUACUUUGUGGUGUUUGUAUUACCUAAACAAUGAAGAUUGUUAAGUUGUUGGAAAAAAUUCCAACUUUGGGGCCACACAUGUACAUUUAUUAGAAUGUGUGGUGCUAUUUUAAAGUAAAUAUAGUCGAUAAAGUGAUCCAUUGAAUUUAAUUUUGGACUAAUGGGUAUUAAAUUUUAUGGGAUUAAAGUGUAGAGACCAGAAGGUGUUAUUUUGAAUUGAUGAGGGGCCGAUUUGAAAUAACUUAAAGUUAAUAACUGCCAAUAGCAGUUAUUUUAAAAGUGGUUAUGGUCCCCAAUUUGAACGUGAUUUUCUUUUGAUGAUAUCUCUGCAUCCCCAUCAACAGAGACUUUUCAAGAAAACCAAAAGGAAGGAAAAUCACGUAUCAAUUGGAAGAUCAAAACCCAAUUAAAGCAGUAAGAUUCAUGGAUCAAGGUAUGUUUCCGCACUUUUUGUUGUCUCUUUGAUUUCAACAUGGAAUUUAUGAUUUUAUGAAAGGAUUUUAUGAAUAUGGUUCCUUUCAAAAUUGAUUGCAACAAGUGGUAUCAGAGCCAUCCAUUGUUGAAAUCUUUGAGAAAUUGAAAUAAUUUAGUAUUUUUUUUUUUGGUUAUUGUUAUGGAUCUUCCAUGAUGUUAUAUGAAAUUUAAAUUUCUGCAAUUUUUUUUUAAGAUUUUCAAAUUUAACUAUUUGGAUUCAUUAUUGUUGAAUUUGAGAAUUGUUUAGCAUAUUAUUUAUGAUUAUAGAUCUAGAUCCAGUAAAAGGUUUUAGAAUCUAAAGUUUUGAAAUUCCAUUUUUCUGGUUUUGGUUUAAAAAAAAAAAAAAAAAAAAAAUUUUUUUUUUUUUUUUUUACUGGAUCUGGCCGGCGGCGGUGUCGCCGCCGGCGCUGGCUGCUGCAUUUUGCAGCAGCGUGCAGGCAGCAGCCGGGGCGCUGCUGCCGGUUGCAGCAGCGCCCGGCGCUGCUGCCUACGGCGUCGGCACGGCCGGCGCAGUGGCUUCUUACCGGCGCCGUAUAAGAGAGAUGCCUUACAGCCGGGUGGUUUUUUGGGGGCGGGGGCCUAAGGUGCAAUUUUUGUAAUCUCAGGUCCUUGCUUGCAAUUUCUAAUUAGGGUUUUAAAAUUAAAAUUUUAAAUUCAGUCCCUAAACUUUGUUAUCCAUCCAAGUUGGACCUUAAGGUUAUGGGUUUAAUAAUUCAGCCCCUAGAUUUUGGAAAAUUAUUUAAUCUGGGCCAUUAAACUUUUGAAUUUUGCAAUUAAAGUCCCCAAAGUUCAUAAUUAAUUAAAAUNACUCAUAGCUUCUUCUACCAUGGCAGCAGAGUUUGUAGCAUGCUAUGAGGCAUCUAAUCAUGGAAUAUGGCUGCGAAAUUUUGUCACUGGGCUGCGCAUUCUGAAUGGCAUAGAAAGACCACUAAAGUUGUAUUGUGACAACAACUCAGCAGUUCUAUAUUCUAACAACAACAGGAGCUCAUCUAAAUCAAAACAUAUUGACAUUAAAUUCCUGGUUGUGAAGGAAAGAGUACAGAGUGGACAGAUUUCUAUAGAGCACAUUGGAACAAACUCCAUGAUUGCGGAUCCGCUUACUAAGGGAUUACCACCCAAGGUCUUUCAUGAGCACACCGCUCAUAUGGGUGUUGUAUUUUUUGAGGAUAUCAUGUUUUAGUGGGAGUUUGUAUUCUUAUUGCUUUAUAUAUGUUUAGUUCUUUGAACACAUUUAUGUAUUUGGAUAUUUUCUGUACAGAAAUAAAGUAUUCAGUUCAUUCCACUCUGUUAUUAUGUUCAGUACUGAUCUCACUUAAGAAAUAAGGUUGGACCAGUUGGAAAUAGACAUGUUCGGAUCACAUAACAUGUAAUUUCCAUGCUACACUCCCAUAAUUGAUCUAUGUCAUUUGGUUGUAUGGGUGUACGUGACCAUUGAUGGAUUUAGUCACGCUAAAUGUGACGAAAAUCGCUUUGAUCCUACAUCGAUGUAACUAAUGGACGAGAUUGUUUGGAAAUACCUUUAAUAACUAUAGCACAAUUUUGAGCUCAUAAGUCUGUGCACAUUUAUAAUGUAACAUGUUUGGCCCAGUGGGAGAUUGUUGGAAAAAAUUCCAACUUUGGGGCCACACAUGUACAUUUAUUAGAAUGUGUGGUGCUAUUUUAAAGUAAAUAUAGUCGAUAAAGUGAUCCAUUGGAUUUAAUUUUGGACUAAUGGGUAUUAAAUUUUAUGGGAUUAAAGUGUAGAGACCAGAAGGUGUUAUUUUGAAUUGAUGAGGGGCCGAUUUGAAAUAACUUAAAGUUAAUAACUGCCAAUAGCAGUUAUUUUAAAAGUAGUUAUGGUCCCCAAUUUGAACGUGAUUUUCUUUUGAUGAUAUCUCUGCAUCCCCAUCAACAGAGACUUUUCAAGAAAACCAAAAGGAAGGAAAAUCACGUAUCAAUUGGAAGAUCAAAACCCAAUUAAAGCAGUAAGAUUCAUGGAUCAAGGUAUGUUUCCCCACUUUUUGUUGUCUCUUUGAUUUCAACAUGGAAUUUAUGAUUUUAUGAAAGGAUUUUAUGAAUAUGGUUCCUUUCAAAAUUGAUUGCAACAUAAGUUUCUUAUAGUCUGUUUCUUGUUCAAAAUAUAAAGUGGUCGGAUGUGUUAAAGACAGGA